rnacentral:rRNA from 1 species
CGUAGGGUCCGAGCGUUGUCCGGAAUUAUUGGGCGUAAAGGGCUCGUAGGCGGUUUGUCGCGUCGGGAGUGAAAACCAUGGGCUUAACUCAUGGCUUGCUUUCGAUACGGGCAGACUAGAGGUAUGCAGGGGAGAAUGGAAUUCCUGGUGUAGCGGUGAAAUGCGCAGAUAUCAGGAGGAACACCGGUGGCGAAGGCGGUUCUCUGGGCAUUACCUGACGCUGAGGAGCGAAAGUGUGGGGAGCGAACAGGAUUAGAUACCCUGGUAGUCCACACCGUAAACGUUGGGCGCUAGGUGUGGGACCUAUUCCAUGGGUUCCGUGCCGUAGCUAACGCAUUAAGCGCCCCGCCUGGGGAGUACGGCCGCAAGGCUA